CAUGCCGCACGCUGCCCCUGAACCCUACCUCCUCUCUCGCGCCACCCCCACUGCCCCCCGAGCGUGGCUGCCCCUCCACGGAUCCAAGCUCGUACGCCGCCGCCCCUCCCACCAUGCCAAGCUCGCACGCCACCGCCGCCGGCGCCCCCAACUGGCCGCCCCUCGUCAGUUCGUGUGUUCCAUCCGCACCAAAAAUCACCGUCCCUAGCUUCCCAUGGAUCCCUGCGCGCCGCCGCCCACCAGAAGGAAGCUCUCGUGCUCCCCGACGCCGCUUUCCUUAAGCAUUUGUGCGCUCCAAAAGUCAACGCGACACAGUUGCUUCCUCUGGCAACACCUCCUACCGGCGCCAGCGGUUCUGAGGUUACCUUGUUAGUAGUUCAACUUUGCUAAAUUCUGUAGUUAACCAUUGCUAAAAAUCAUCUUAGAAAUUAUCUCGUUUAAAUAGUUCACCUUUUCUAAAAACAGUAGUUCUCUGGUUAGAAAAACAAUAGUUAUCUCUGCAAGAAAGUAUGACAAUCUUUUGGUAAAGUCUCAGUCUCUUCUCAGUUUUAGUGUACGCUCGCUGGCGAUGCGUCCAGCAUGCUUUCGGUGAUAGCGCCAUAGUGGCCACCACUAAUGGCAUUGGCAGCCAGCAUGCUUGCACAAAAAUAGCUAGCUAGGUGUUCAGGAUCGUCUAUUUUAUCCCUCGAAACAGGAUGCUCAGGACGUCUAUUUUGUUUUCUGAAACACUAGCUAGGUGUUCCCAGUUCAGUACAUGGACUAUCAUCAGCUCUAGUUGCUGCUUCCUGCCACCAACGAAUUGCGCAAGUUCAAAGAGUGUCGCAUGACAAAUUCAAAAGGUGUUGUAUCAUGUAUGGCAAGUUCAGAAUUUUGGUUUCGUGAAAAGUGUGAUUUUGGACAAUAUUUUGUGCGAUUCAAUUGUUCAUCUUCAGAACUUGGAGAUGUUAAGUCUAUUUUUUUCUAUGAUGAAGGUACACAUGAGCUCCAUCUGCAAUGGUUAUCCACCCUAGUGCUUCAAAGAUGCUUAUUUUGUUUCCCCCGUGACGCAUCGAGGAUGAUAGUGACGACACUUACAAAAUUGUUUUCUGUGUUGCUAUGUUAUCAGUCCAAAGUGUGGUGAAGAUGUAGUCCUGGGUGUGUAGAUGAUGUGGUGUGUGUCUGGUUGUGUGUGUGCAUGAUGAUUGGUGGCUGUUGUGUGUGUGUGCAGGGUACCCGGCGACAGCGGGUAGGCGACAAGUGUACUGGUGACCAGCUACCCGGAAAAUGCUGGAACAGGGCUUCCAAAGUAAGCUCCUUGCUUCUUGCUUCUCUUUAAAUCUCUUGAGCUUUACAUGGUAUGUUCAAGACAAGUCCUCUAGUGGUUGUAUUGUAUGACGUUCGUUUAAAUGAUCGACUAUACUGACACCACAUACGUGGAAACUCAAAAUGAAAAUAAAAGGUGUUAAUGGAGAAAUAUAAGAACAAAAACAGGUAUGUGUAGCCAUCUAGCAACGUGGUGAUCAAACAAAAUCCCGACAGCCAACCUCCAUGGUGAUCAAUUCCAUGUGCUUAUGGGUAUGCUUGCUUAGCACAAAAUUCAUAAACUGUCAAUUUAUUUUGAAUUGAACUGAUGCUGCUCUUGAUUCAGACAUGAGGGAGAAGACGGAACUAGAAUGAUUCAGUUCAUCAUUGGCACCCCUGUAAACCAAACAAUGAAGAACACAACCAUUGUACUUUUGCUCUUGUUCUUUCUAUCUCCUGAAUUCCAUGCUUUCUGUGAUGAGCAUGCUUGGUACUAUAUAGAUACUGAUGUUGUAGUUCUAAUACAAUAUAUUACAAGAAUUCAUUGACAAAAAAGGUGUCAGUUCAUAUAUGCAUGCAACAGCUAUUCUGAUACUACUUUAUUAACCAGAAAAACACAAAAGUUCAACUAUACUUAUGCAAAAUAGUUCAGUAUUUUAUUCUAUGACAGUCAAGAAAAACAGAAAAAAGAGGUUCAUCGUGUGAUGAGCAAUAGUCCCAACAACUGUGCUAGAGAUGCAAAAAAUUGAUAGCAUAGCCGAUGCCAUUUUUCAUCCAAUUUCUGAAGAAAACUAAAGUUGAUCAGAGUAACUAAAGAAUGAUCUGUUAGUUCUUGAGUAUGUGUAAUGCUGCCAUUUUACUGUGCAUUUGAUUCCAUCGUGAUGGAUGUAUUACAAAGAUAUGGCUGUAUUACUAUGUUGAAUAAAAAUACCAUUUUGCUGCAACAUUUUCUCAGCUCCUGUCAAGUUAUACAUGUAUGUGAGGAUCCUUCUAUGUAGUAAGUUCAUAGUCGAGAAGUCAGGGACUUCGUAAAUAACGUGAACACCAAAAAACCAUUAAAAAACCUAAACCAUAUGUUAGGGGAGUUCAAGAAGUUCAUGGCUAGCUAUCCGUGUUCUGUAUUCUUAUCAGUUCAUAAUCGAGAAGACAUGUAUUCUUAUCAGUUUGUUUAUCUAGCCCGUCGUGCUGUGUAUUCUGGUCAGUUCGUGUGUGUAUGUGUUGCCCUCGCAGUGUAUGAGAGGCCGCCCGUGAGGAAGUCGCCGAUCUGGUCGAGGCAUGCUGCUAUUCUCUAUAUCCGGCAGCACAAACAUUUAAAAGUUCGACCACCAAACCUUGGUACUAGGUGGUGGCAUUGCUUCACUUCUCUUGUUACGUUCUCUUCGCCCAAAUUCAGAGGAUCAAGAAAAUAAAAUAUCAUUCUUUUGACAUGCACUACUCAAAAGAAAGCAUUUCUGUUGAAAAAUUGUUUCGCUUGACAUGUACUUGCCAACAAUUAUGUAUAAUAAAUCAUGGCAUUGUAUGUAGAAAAAGAUAUAUUGUGUGUUCUGCUAUUGUAUUGAGUUGCUAUCUAUUGCUAAUUGUAUGAUGUUGUUAUUGCUCU